AACGAACGCUGGCGGCAGGCUUAACACAUGCAAGUCGAGCGCCCCGCAAGGGGAGCGGCAGACGGGUGAGUAACGCGUGGGAAUCUACCCAUCUCUACGGAAUAACGCAUGGAAACGUGUGCUAAUACCGUAUACGUCCUUCGGGAGAAAGAUUUAUCGGAGAUGGAUGAGCCCGCGUUGGAUUAGCUAGUUGGUGGGGCAAAGGCCUACCAAGGCGACGAUCCAUAGCUGGUCUGAGAGGAUGAUCAGCCACACUGGGACUGAGACACGGCCCAGACUCCUACGGGAGGCAGCAGUGGGGAAUAUUGGACAAUGGGCGCAAGCCUGAUCCAGCCAUGCCGCGUGAGUGAUGAAGGCCAUAGGGUUGUAAAGCUCUUUCACCGGUGAAGAUAAUGACGGUAACCGGAGAAGAAGCCCCGGCUAACUUCGUGCCAGCAGCCGCCGUAAAAC
rnacentral:rRNA from 1 species